rnacentral:ncRNA from 1 species
CACUAGGGGAGCCUGAAUUGGCUGAGACGGAAAAAGUGAAUUUCCGGACCCUUGAACCUGAUCUGGAUCAUACCAGCGUAGGAAAGUGGAG